AUUGAUCUAUGUCAGGCUGUUUGAAGCAACACAAAGUCAGCCCAUCCCAUAGGAGAAGAUGGUGUUUUUUGGACCCCAGCAAACAUUUCAGAUGUCAAAUAAGUUAGUAAACAAAAGUGAUGGCAUGGUGCACAGACUGUUCUUAAGCUCUGGUGAUAAAUCUGCUUCUUCCACUUGGAUAUGACACCACAUAUAAUGGUGUCUCAAUAAGCAUAGGCAGGAAGACAAACAUCUCAACACAUACCUAAUGGAGGUGACUUAGUCAUAUAUCCUUUCUCUGAAACAAUUUGGAAGGUAAAUGUGGAAGAAGCUAUUAACAGAAAACCAUGAACAGAUAAGAUGGACAGACCACUGAACAGGAAACAAAGUACUGCCAUGCUGAGUCAGUGCUAAUGGGGACAGCAUUUUCCUCGCAUUUUGUAAUUUAUGAGUUCCUCUUUGUAACAGGUAACAGCUAUACACGUGCUCAGAAACCUGGGCCUGUGGUUAGACUCAAAAGAACUCAGUGUGACAUAUCUUUAUUUUCCUGUUUUCAUUCUGUGCUUGAAGUUUUUGCUACUUCUUUCAAAUGUCACAUUGUUUAGUUAAGAAAUUAAAAGUUCAUUUGUAAUGUGCUGAAGGUAAAUCUGUAACUUAAAGAGUCCAGUUAACAAGAAUAAGCUGGAAUUUGAACUCUGGGCAUCAUCAGAAGGCAUCCUAUCCUAUGGCAUAAGUUUGUGUUGUUCACCAGAAGUUUUUCAUUCUGUGAUGCUGCCCAGACUGGCUCCCUUGCUGGCAUGUGGCUAGAA